rnacentral:ncRNA from 1 species
CAAAAAAUGGAGAAGGAACGAGUAUGUUAUAGUCCAUCGACCAGAGAGGGAUUCCUAGGCUGAAAGAAUUCCCGGUGAAGGAUAACAGAAUGCUAUUCCGGAGUGCAGGAAAAACCUGCCGUGAGCUGCGUUAAGGCGUCAUUGAGAGAUGGGCGUGAUUUUUUGCGUUCAUAAUCAGGGUGGUACCGCGAGUAAGCUCUCGUCCCUGUC